rnacentral:rRNA from 1 species
CCUACGGGCGGCAGCAGUCAAGAAUCAUUCACAAUGGGGGAAACCCUGAUGGUGCGACGCCGCGUGGGGGAAUGAAGGUCUUCGGAUUGUAAACCCCUGUCAUGUGGGAGCAAAUUAAAAAGAUAGUACCACAAGAGGAAGAGACGGCUAACUCUGUGCCAGCAGCCGCGGUAAUACAGAGGUCUCAAGCGUUGUUCGGAAUCACUGGGCGUAAAGCGUGCGUAGGCUGUUUCGUAAGUCGUGUGUGAAAGGCGCGGGCUCAACCCGCGGACGGCACAUGAUACUGCGAGACUAGAGUAAGGGAGGGGGAACCGGAAUUCGUGGUGUAGCAGUGAAAUGCGUAGAUAUCGAGAGGAACACUCGUGGCGAAGGCGGGUUCCUGGACAUUAACUGACGCUGAGGCACGAAGGCCAGGGGAGCGAAAGGGAUUAGAUACCCCAGUAGUC